AUACAUGAUACUACAUUAGUUCCGACUAGCACAUGAACGCAGCACACCUCAAGAGUGGGCUACAGCGAUGAUGCUUAGGCUACGUGUGUGAGUGGGAUGGAUGGAAGUAUCUUGCCGUCGACAUUCUGGUUGCUGGACGCACGUACUGUAGGCUACUGCGGUAAGGACGCAGCUGCUGGCUGGCUUGAAUAAGCUGAUCAAAGAGACUCACAGAAAAUGUUGAUUUCAUUUUUAAAACAGCCUUUUUGACUUCGAUGCAGGCAGAGUGGACCUUUUCCACCUCUAAACAAAUUAUAGUAGAUUAUAGAAACCCUCGUCGCCCGAUGUUCAGGGAGUCGUGUUCGUGGGAGACGCACGAAAUUAUUUUGCAAGACCUAUCAAAUGAAGGUUAAGGUUUAGCAAACAACACGCAAAGGCAAUUACACGUCUGGCAACGUCUCGCUCUGAGAAUCUGGGUAUGAUAAGCACUUGAAAACCAUUCCAUCACCAACGAGUCGACCCAUUGGACCUCAUGUUGGCCAGACCGCUCAUUCCAACCACCAGAGGAUGCCUGGACAGCCUUCCCAAAGGAUUCAGAGGGAGAGGGACAAGACACAAGAGGACAGUGGUGGCCCACAAAUGCUGUGGAGAAGACGAGGGGAAGAUUCUCUGCCAAGGGAAAUGUGAACAAUGUGUUUGUGGAGUCCUUCCCGUCACUGUCUACUCCCCUGUAUGACCGUGAUGCUGUUCCCAUGCUCAGCCAGCUCCUCAGAGGCAUCUUGGAUCAUGAAAGCUCUGCAGAGGAUCAUGGCUUACUUGAUGGGUUCCAUGACCUGAAGAAGAUGUUUGGCUUGAAAUAUAAGAGGGCAAAUGCUGUUUCCCGUGGACGGCUUCUACAGUCGCUACAUUUGGGCCAGUAUGACACGGAAAAUAUGACUGGGCAUAGAGCAGCCAACUACAGUCCCUCUCUUGGCCUCCCCUCGUCCAGUCAGCAUGCACAGGCCUGUGGGAAGAGACGGUUAUCUUAUGAUGUCAACAAGAACAUCAUGGAAUAACCAAGAUUUCCACUUUCCCUGACUGUCAACAACACAUUGUCUUUACUAUGCCCUUCUAUGCCAAACCACUAAUGGGUCACGGUCUUCAUCUCCAUGGGGAGAAAUAACAAAAAAAUGUCACAAGAUUCAGAACUCAGAGGAUGGACCAGCUGACUAUAUGGUGACCCUUAAUAAUGCCCUGUUUUGCUUGACAUUUCCCUGGAGUUGGAUCAAUAGAUGCAUACCUGUGACUAAUUGGAUAAAAUGAAGCACAAAUGAUUAUUUUUGUCUCACAAAUAUUCCUAAAAUACAUGCAGAUGUUUACAUUCUUAUUAAUCUCAUUCUUUUAGGGACUCUAUGAAAUGUUAAAGUAAUUUGUUUGUCAGGAGAAGUGGAUGUCUAUACCCCUCCCCCUUCGUUCACUCCCACCCGCUUUCCCCCACACACACACGGACUUGGACACAAACACACACUGUCCUCUCCCAUCAUGUGGUCUGGCUCAACUGUGUGCCAGUGACAACUCUGGAGCAGAAUAUAUUCUGUUGGUUUAGCUAACAUUGGAGCUCACAUGGAUCACAGCUCCUUUUCUUAUUAUUUCAGUACAUAAUGACCAUGUUUACUGAAAUGAUUACCUUUUUAAAUUGGGGUGUUUCUGUCUGUCAGAAUUACGUUUUGUACUGGCUAAGAGAAAGUGUUAUUUUACCAGUACAAGUUUGUUUUAGAUCACAAAAAUGCAAUCAUGUCCUAUUAAGACUCCAUUUGUUUUUGUGGGGGCAACCCUGGGCAACUCAGUAGGUCUACAGAAAAUGUAUUUGAUGUUUGUCAUUUGUACAUAAUUCCAAGGGAAAAUACAGAUUUUUUUUCUGAGUGGUUCAAAUGGAUAAAAAAAAGAGAUUGUCAACUUGUUCAUUGAUGUAAUAAAAUGACACGGUGAUUGCGGUUUUCCAUCCUCAAAGCUUUUGCUAAUGUUGUUGCUGUGUCAUUUUUAGAAGUACCUAAAUGGUCAUCUUAUUUGCGUAUUUGACACAAUACUCACUAUAAACCAAAACAGCAAAAAAUAGUACUUCUACAGGCUACAUGUGUCAGUCAAUUAGAAUGGUGUACGGCGCUAGAAUGAAGUAUCACAGGUCAAAGGGAAACUGCACUGGCAAAUCAACACUUCCAAGUGACAUACAUUGAAUUAGCACACCAUUACCACUGGCAAGACUGCAAAGUAAGCCUUCAAGUCAUUAUCCUAAGACUGCUAAUGAGGGAAACUGACAGCGUAACGCUAUUCUCGAUUUAUGCCCACUCUAACCUUAUGGCCAAGUAUGUCCC
ensembl:lncRNA